rnacentral:ncRNA from 1 species
UAUCUGGAAAGAAUGUUUAUUCGUUCACCGAAGGGGAAAGACUAACGUCGAAGCUCUCAGGUACCAAGACAGAGGGGGA